rnacentral:lncRNA from 12 species
ACAGGUUCACUGUGGGAGUUUUAUAAGCCAAUAGAGCAUAAAAGAUAGUAUCUUUUAAUAAGCCCAUAAAGAAAUGACAUACUCCAAAUUAAUGAUAGCUUAGUCAACUAUUGUUUCAGGCAAGAGGAGUUGAAAAAGAGAAAGUCCAAAUUUAGUUGGAGUAUACCUUUAUGCAAGUUGGUAAUGAGGAGAGUUGGGUUAGCCAAUUGAAGGCUGACGUCUGCCUGCCAGGGCAAAGGUGAAAGUCCCCUGUUGCUGGAGCACACUGCUCCAGAAUGUCGGCCUCAGUACUGACGGGCAAGACUGCUGCAUGGUCACCACUGCUGGUGAAGAGGCACCUUCAGACACCUCAUUUAAUCGUCUCAGCUCUAAGUCGUGUGUCGUGUGCCCGGGAGAAAACAGGCCUCUGGAGAAGCUGCUGCUGCUGCUUGAGGGUCCUAGGAUUAUCGGCUUCUUUGGUAAGGUUGGAUGGGCCUCCGGGAAGAAAGACCUUUGAUUCUAGACGUUUCUAGGCUAUUGAGGGUGAGAAAACGGUAAGAAUUAGUAGUCCCUCUGAGAGCCAUGGGGAGAGCCCCACAGAUUCCAGAUCUCAAGGCGCCCUCCAGCUUAGGUUAGGUUUUUCUGGAAUGUUCCAAGUAUUACUAUCUUUACAGAGAGCUCAUCCUUAAUUAAAUCAUGGCCAAAGCAGGGGUAGAGUUGGGACUCUGGAAGGAGAUAAGGUCUGAUUUCUCAGAUUCUGACCUUUCUGCCGCAGUAGACUUAUUAAAGAUUCCUGGUUUUGUGUUUUGAGACUAUCUUUGUUUUUCAAUUUUAAAAAUAUUUUAAUCUUUGAAAAAAUUAUGAUUACAUGUCUUUUUUUGGUUAAAUUCUUUCACUGGCUUCCAACUGCAUGUAGAAUAAAAUUAAAUCUUUGCAGAGCCUGUCGUUGAAA